ACAAGUCUACUUCAUGUGGUUCCAUAAGUGAGAAAGAUAUAGAGAUAGAGAAGAGAUCGAGCUUGUUGAGAGAGUUAUUCUUGUUGUUUUUUUUUCUGUUCUCUUGUUCUUCUUUUAUUCUUCUUUCUUUAUUCUUAUGGCUUGAAUUAGUGUUUGGUUUAAUUAACUAUGGUGAAGGAUGUGGUAGAUGUUCCCGGAGAAGGAUUUGGGACAAGAGACUAUUAAGAUCCUCGUCCACUGCAAAGGAGAUAUCUCUGGUCUCUAAGUUACUUCCCAUUUAUAAGACCUAUUGGACUUUAUUUCCUUUCACAGAUCUCAUUGAAAGUGUACGUAUGGAAGAGCCAUUUGUGGAUCGUUGGAGUUUACAUAUGUUGCGUCCAUCUCGGUUAAAUGAAGCUAAAUGGUUUAAAUACCAUACCCAAGUAUCAACUAGUGUCUAAAAGGUCAUUCAAAGUUAUUUUAAGGGACCAUGGUACUCUUGGGGAAAAGUGCCUCCCUUCUACAAAAGAACCUGGUUUAUACUGUUUAUGAAAAAGUUUAACUGGGAUGCUUCUAUAACCUAUCAAGUUGAAAGAGAGUUUAAUAAGCUUGUUGCUCGCCUCAAAGGAAUGAUAAGCCAUGCAAAGAAUGGACGAGAAAAACCAGAGUGGAUUUUGUCUAACUAUUGGACAAUUAUGCAAAAACAUUGGGCAACACCAAAAGCGAAGGCAACUAGUGAGAAGGCUCGUGCUUCUCGAAUGUUUGAUCGCAAUGGUUUAGGCCCACUCUCAUCUAGCAGAUUCAUGUUCGUAUGUCAAAGUUCAAGCUGUUUUGGAAGCAAACAAAAGUCUGACGGAACCUAUGUUGAUCAACGAGCAUGAUUGAUCGCAGAAACUUAUGAAAAGCAUUUACAAGAACGUUUGGAACAACUUGAAUCUUCUGGUGAAGAGAAUGUGACAGCUGAAAAUCUUUACAAAGAUGAGAAAAAUGAGAUUUAUAUCAAGCUUAUCAGGUUUUACCAUCUGUUGGUGCCUCUUCAAGUGUACCACAAUCUGGUGAAGAAGUAGAGACGAUAACACAUCGAAUGCAGGAGAUGGAAACUGAUAAAAACAAAACCUUGAAGAAAAUCAGCAAAUCCAGAAAAGACAUGAAGGUAUGGAGAAACUUGUUGAAUCUUUUGCAUGUCAAAAUAUUAAAUCCAAGGUCACUACCAAGACCAUCCACCUUUAUCUAACUACUAUGGUUUGAUUGUAUUUCCUUUCAGUUGUGUUUAUGGAUUAAUUUUGUGUUUAGUUUGUAUUUCCUUUUAGUUGUAUUUAUGUAUUAACUUUGUAUUUGGAUGUUAGUUUGUUAUGUAUAUAUUAUCGU